GAUGAACGCUGGCGGCGUGCCUAAUACAUGCAAGUCGAGCGAACGGACGAGAAGCUUGCUUCUCUGAUGUUAGCGGCGGACGGGUGAGUAACACGUGGAUAACCUACCUAUAAGACUGGGAUAACUUCGGGAAACCGGAGCUAAUACCGGAUAAUAUUUUGAACCGCAUGGUUCAAAAGUGAAAGACGGUCUUGCUGUCACUUAUAGAUGGAUCCGCGCUGCAUUAGCUAGUUGGUAAGGUAACGGCUUACCAAGGCAACGAUGCAUAGCCGACCUGAGAGGGUGAUCGGCCACACUGGAACUGAGACACGGUCCAGACUCCUACGAGAGGCAGCAGUAGGGAAUCUUCCGCAAUGGGCGAAAGCCUGACGGAGCAACGCCGCGUGAGUGAUGAAGGUCUUCGGAUCGUAAAACUCUGUUAUUAGGGAAGAACAUAUGUGUAAGUAGCUGUGCACAUCUUGACGGUACCUAAUCAGAAAGCCACGGCUAACUACGUG
rnacentral:rRNA from 1 species